UGUUUGUAUAGUGUGUGUAUAUAAUGCAGUGUGUUUGUGUAGUGUGUAUUAUAUAAACACACUACACAAACACACUGCAUUAUAUACACACACUAUGCAAAC